AGAGUUUGAUCCUGGCUCAGAUUGAACGCUGGCGGCAUGCUUUACACAUGCAAGUCGGACGGCAGCACAGAGAAGCUUGCUUCUUGGGUGGCGAGUGGCGAACGGGUGAGUAACAUAUCGGAACGUACCGAGCAGUGGGGGAUAACUAAUCGAAAGAUUAGCUAAUACCGCAUAUUUUCUGAGGAAGAAAGCAGGGGACCUUUGGGCCUUGCGCUGUUUGAGCGGCCGAUAUCUGAUUAGCUAGUUGGUGGGGUAAAGGCCUACCAAGGCGACGAUCAGUAGCGGGUCUGAGAGGAUGAUCCGCCACACUGGGACUGAGACACGGCCCAGACUCCUACGGGAGGCAGCAGUGGGGAAUUUUGGACAAUGGGCGCAAGCCUGAUCCAGCCAUGCCGCGUGUCUGAAGAAGGCCUUCGGGUUGUAAAGGACUUUUGUCAGGGAAGAAAAGGGCGGGGUUAAUACCCCUGUCUGAUGACGGUACCUGAAGAAUAAGCACCGGCUAACUACGUGCCAGCAGCCGCGGUAAUACGUAGGGUGCGAGCGUUAAUCGGAAUUACUGGGCGUAAAGCGAGCGCAGACGGUUACUUAAGCAGGAUGUGAAAUCCCCGGGCUCAACCUGGGAACUGCGUUCUGAACUGGGUGACUAGAGUGUGUCAGAGGGAGGUAGAAUUCCACGUGUAGCAGUGAAAUGCGUAGAGAUGUGGAGGAAUACCGAUGGCGAAGGCAGCCUCCUGGGAUAACACUGACGUUCAUGCCCGAAAGCGUGGGUAGCAAACAGGAUUAGAUACCCUGGUAGUCCACGCCCUAAACGAUGUCAAUUAGCUGUUGGGCAACUUGAUUGCUUAGUAGCGUAGCUAACGCGUGAAAUUGACCGCCUGGGGAGUACGGUCGCAAGAUUAAAACUCAAAGGAAUUGACGGGGACCCGCACAAGCGGUGGAUGAUGUGGAUUAAUUCGAUGCAACGCGAAGAACCUUACCUGGUCUUGACAUGUACGGAAUCCUCCAGAGACGGAGGAGUGCCUUCGGGAACCGUAACACAGGUGCUGCAUGGCUGUCGUCAGCUCGUGUCGUGAGAUGUUGGGUUAAGUCCCGCAACGAGCGCAACCC
rnacentral:rRNA from 1 species